AAACAACGAUAAAAACCACAAACACCCUUUUCAGAACACAAAUUCAAAAGCUUAUCUUUCCCAUCUCUCUUUCUUCCCAAAACGAGGAGGGAAGGGAGGCGAAAUCUAGCUCAUCAUCUAACUUUUGGCAAGAUAGCAACCGCCUUAGAUUCAAUGGCUAAAAGUUUUAGAAAUUUGGUUUCUUGGAUGGAUGUUGCUCCACCCAUCUUUGUUACAUACCCUCACAAGCCGUCAAAUAUCCCCGUGUUGGAGACAAUCGAAGAAGAGAUGAAUGAGGGAGACGAUGAUGAUUCAUAACAAUCUUGCGUUCUUUGUUGACCAUGGUGUAAUUUUGUAGCUAGCUGGUUCUAUCGAAGACAAUGCAGCGAAAAUGGAUGUUAAGAAAUGCAAUAAUGAAUGGCUGCCAUCUCCGACUAGCCAGUUCUUACGCAAUAUUUCUGUAUUACAAGAGUGAAUUCGAGGAUGGAAGGUCUGUGCGGAAAUGCAAGUGCUGCAACUCCAUCGUCGUUUUGUAAAUUUGUACAUAUUGCAAGUUUGUUUUAUGAUUUUGAAUUUUUGAUGUAUAUUUGAUCAUAGUUUUGGUUAAUAUUACUUAAGGAUCUUUCUUUAAUCUGUAUUGCACAUUCAUGAUUGUUUAG
rnacentral:lncRNA from 1 species